GCCCAGAUGGCGGAAUUGGUAGACGCACAUGGUUCAGGUCCAUGCGGUGGUAACACUGUGGAGGUUCGAGUCCUCUUCUGGGCACCA
rnacentral:tRNA from 2 species